AGAGCUUGCUCUCUGGGUGGCGAGUGGCGGACGGGUGAGUAACGCGUAAGAAUCUGCCUAUUAGUGGGGGAUAACUACCGGAAACGGUGGCUAAUACCGCAUACGCCCUACGGGGGAAAGUGGGGGACCUUCGGGCCUCACGCUAUUAGAUGAGCUUGCGUAGGAUUAGCUUGUUGGUGAGGUAAUGGCUCACCAAGGCGACGAUCCUUAGCUGGUUUGAGAGAACGAUCAGCCACACUGGGACUGAGACACGGCCCAGACUCC
rnacentral:rRNA from 1 species